rnacentral:misc_RNA from 1 species
AAGUCGUAACAAGGUUUCCGUAGGUGAACCUGCGGAAGGAUCAUUGACAAAUCUAAACACACACACACAAACCUGUGAAUCGGCGGCUCUGCCUUAGCUGGCGAGCCUGCUUUGGCAGAUGGCGGCUGGGCGCUUGCGUCGACCCGCUGUCUGCCACACAUUUACGCAAUUGUCUUACGCAACAACAACAACAACAGUUGAAACAAACAACUUUUAGCAAUGGAUCUCUUGGCUUCU